UACGUAGGGGGCAAGCGUUGUCCGGAAUCAUUGGGCGUAAAGAGCGUGUAGGCGGCUCGGUAAGUCCGCUGUAAAAGUCCAGGGCUCAACCCUGGAAAGCCGGUGGAAACUGUCGAGCUAGAGUCCGGAAGAGGCGAGUGGAAUUCCUGGUGUAGCGGUGAAAUGCGCAGAUAUCAGGAGGAACACCAAUGGCGAAGGCAGCUCACUGGGACGGUACUGACGCUGAGACGCGAAAGCGUGGGGAGCGAACAGG
rnacentral:rRNA from 1 species